UACGUAGGUGGCAAGCGUUAUCCGGAAUUACUGGGCGUAAAGCGCACGCAGGCGGUCUUUUAAGUUUGACGUGAAAGCUCCCGGCUUAACUGGGAGAGGUCGUUGAAUACUGGAAGACUUGAGGCAAUGAGAGGGGUGUAGAAUUCCCGGUGUAGUGGUGGAAUGCGUAGAUAUCGGGGGGAAUACCAGUGGCGAAAGCGGCACCCUAGCGUUAGCCUGACGCUCAUGUGCGAAAGCGUGGGGAGCGAUCCGG
rnacentral:rRNA from 1 species